rnacentral:misc_RNA from 1 species
GAAAUGCGAUAAGUAAUGUGGAUUGCAGAAUUCAGUGAAUCAUCGAAUCUUUGAACGCACAUUGCGCCCCCUGGUAUUCCGGGGGGCAUGCCUGUUCGAGCGUCAUUUCACCACUCAAGCCUCGCUUGGUAUUGGGCGACGCGGUCCGCCGCGCGCCUCAAAUCGACCGGCUGGGUCUUCCGUCCCCUCAGCGUUGUGGAAACUAUUCGCUAAAGGGUGCCGCGGGAGGUCACGCCGCAAAACAACCCCAUUUCUAAGGUUGACCUCGGAUCAGGUAGGGAUACCCGCUGAACUUAAGC